UACGGAGGGUGCGAGCGUUGUCCGGAAUCACUGGGCGUAAAGGGCGCGUAGGCGGCCUGGCAAGUCGAUGGUGAAAGCCCGAGGCUCAACUUCGGGUCGGCCACUGAUACUGCUGGGCUUGAGUCGACUAGAGGCAGAUGGAAUUCCGGGUGUAGCGGUGGAAUGCGUAGAGAUCCGGAAGAACACCAGUGGCGAAGGCGGCCCGCUGGGCAGUGGCUGACGCUGAGGCGCGACAGCGUGGGGAGCAAACAGG
rnacentral:rRNA from 1 species